GUAGGUGAACCUGCGGAAGGAUCAUUACUAAGUUGGCCUCCCGCCUCCGGGCGCGGCACGAUUCCACGUGUGUUAACAGUUUAGAUUUCCCUUCGGGGAGGCUGGCUGGACCCCUUAGGAGACGCUGAACAGUAGAGAUACUGAUUAGGCCCCGGUAUAGGGGUUUGCGGUGGUGGGUAGUAAAUACCGCCUUUAGGAUGAACAACUUACACCCGUGUCUACCUUCUUUGUUGCUUUGGCGGGCCGCCUUACGGCGUUGGCUCCGGCUGGACCGUGCCUGCCAGAGGACCCAAACUCUUUUAUUUUAGUGAUGUCUGAGUAAUAUAUAAUAGUUAAAACUUUCAACAACGGAUCUCUUGGUUCUG
rnacentral:misc_RNA from 1 species